rnacentral:rRNA from 1 species
CCUACGGGAGGCAGCAGUGGGGAAUAUUGCACAAUGGGCGCAAGCCUGAUGCAGCGACGCCGCGUGGGGGAUGACGGCCUUCGGGUUGUAAACCUCUUUCAGUAGGGACGAAGCGCAAGUGACGGUACCUACAGAAGAAGCACCGGCCAACUACGUGCCAGCAGCCGCGGUAAUACGUAGGGUGCGAGCGUUGUCCGGAAUUACUGGGCGUAAAGAGCUCGUAGGUGGUUUGUCGCGUUGUCCGUGAAAUCCCACAACUCAAUUGUGGGCGUGCGGGCGAUACGGGCAGACUGGAGUACUGCAGGGGAGACUGGAAUUCCUGGUGUAGCGGUGGAAUGCGCAGAUAUCAGGAGGAACACCGGUGGCGAAGGCGGGUCUCUGGGCAGUAACUGACGCUGAGGAGCGAAAGCGUGGGGAGCGAACAGGAUUAGAUACCCUGGUAGUCCACGCCGUAAACGGUGGGUACUAGGUGUGGGUUUCCUUCCUUGGGAUCCGUGCCGUAGCUAACGCAUUAAGUACCCCGCCUGGGGAGUACGGCCGCAAGGCUAAAACUCAAAGGAAUUGACGG